rnacentral:tRNA from 1 species
UUCAUAAUGGCAGAGUAUGCAAAGAAUUUAAGCUUCUUUUAAGAGAUUAUCUUAUGAAA